rnacentral:rRNA from 1 species
UGGGGGAUAUUGCACAAUGGGCGAAAGCCUGAUGCAGCGACGCCGCGUGGGGGAUGAAGGCUUUCGGGUUGUAAACCUCUUUCGCUAUCGAACAAGGCCCGCUUAGGGUGGGUUGAGGGUAGGUGGAGAAGAAGCGCCGGCUAACUACGUGCCAGCAGCCGCGGUAAUACGUAGGGCGCGAGCGUUGUCUGGAAUUAUUGGGCGUAAAGGGCUUGUAGGCGGCUUGUUGCGCCUGCUGUGAAAACGCGGGGCUUAACUUCGCGCGUGCAGUGGGUACGGGCAGGCUUGAGUGUGGUAGGGGUGACUGGAAUUCCAGGUGUAGCGGUGGAAUGCGCAGAUAUCUGGAGGAACAACGAUGGCGAAGGCAGGUCACUGGGCCAUUACUGACGCUGAGGAGCGAAAGCAUGGGUAGCGAACAGG